UGGGGAAUUUUGGACAAUGGGCGAAAGCCUGAUCCAGCAAUGCCGCGUGUGUGAAGAAGGCCUUCGGGUUGUAAAGCACUUUUGUCCGGAAAGAAAUCCUUGGCUCUAAUACAGUCGGGGGAUGACGGUACCGGAAGAAUAAGCACCGGCUAACUACGUGCCAGCAGCCGCGGUAAUACGUAGGGUGCAAGCGUUAAUCGGAAUUACUGGGCGUAAAGCGUGCGCAGGCGGUUUGCUAAGACCGAUGUGAAAUCCCCGGGCUCAACCUGGGAACUGCAUUGGUGACUGGCAGGCUAGAGUAUGGCAGAGGGGGGUAGAAUUCCACGUGUAGCAGUGAAAUGCGUAGAGAUGUGGAGGAAUACCGAUGGCGAAGGCAGCCCCCUGGGCCAAUACUGACGCUCAUGCACGAAAGCGUGGGGAGCAAACAGGAUUAGAUACCCUGGUAGUCCACGCCCUAAACGAUGUCAACUGUUGUUGGGGAUUCAUUUCCUUAGUAACGUAGCUAACGCGUGAAGUUGACCGCCUGGGGAGUACGGUCGCAAGAUUAAAACUCAAAUGAAUUGACGGGGUC
rnacentral:rRNA from 1 species